rnacentral:rRNA from 1 species
UACGUAGGGUGCGAGCGUUGUCCGGAAUUACUGGGCGUAAAGAGCUCGUAGGUGGUUUGUCGCGUUGUUCGUGAAAACUCACAGCUCAACUGUGGGCGUGCGGGCGAUACGGGCAGACUAGAGUACUGCAGGGGAGACUGGAAUUCCUGGUGUAGCGGUGGAAUGCGCAGAUAUCAGGAAGAACACCGGUGGCGAAGGCGGGUCUCUGGGCAGUAACUGACGCUGAGGAGCGAAAGCGUGGGGAGCGAACAGG